rnacentral:lncRNA from 1 species
AACCGAACCAAUAGAAUGUGUAUUUAGGUAUAUAGAGAGAUUUAUUUUAAGGAAUUGGCUCAUGUGAUUAUGGAGGCUGGCAAGUCCAACGUCUGCAGGGUGAACCAGCAGGCUGAAGACUCAGAGAGGAGCCAAUCCUGCAGUCAAGUCUGAAGACUGUCUGCUACCAAAGUCCCUCUUGCUCGGGAGAAGACACACGUGGUUGAAGCCGGGCCCUUCGUUUGAAGAAAUGACAAUAGAUGUUUGCCUGGAGUUUUAGCGUUUACAAAGUGAUCCACUAACACCGUCUCAUGGAAUCUUCACAUCAACGGGUAUGGUGGCUGGCUUAUGCCUGUGGUCCCAGCUACUCAGGAGGCUGAAGCAGGAGGAUUGCUGGAGCCCAGGGGUUUGAGGCUGCAGUGAGCUAUGAUUGUGCCAUUGCACUUCAGCCUGGGCCACAGAGUGAGAACCCCACUCUAAAAACAAGAAGAUGAACAAGAAGAAGGAGAAGAAGAAGAAGGAGAAGGAGAAGGAGAAGGAGGGGAAGGGGAAGGGGAAGGAGAAGGAGAAGGAGGGGAAGGGGAAGGGGAAAGGGAAGGAAAUGGAGAAAGGAAGAAGAAAAAGGAAGAAGAAGAGGAAGAGGAAAAGGAGGAAGAGAAACAAGAAGGAGAAGAAGAAGAAGAAGGAGGAGGAGGAGGAGGAGGAGGAAAUUUGGACACAGGUGCUCACAGGGAGAAGAAGGCCAUGUGGAGACAGACACAGAGGGAAGAAGAUGUGAGACAGAUGAGGGCAAUGCUGCUAACAGCCAAGGACCUCCUGGGGCUACUACACACUGGAGGAGGCGAGAAAGGGUCCUCCCUUCAGGGCUUUGGAGGGAGCACCGUCCAGCUCACACCUUGAUUUUAGACUUCCAGCCUCCGGAGUCGAGAGGGAAUGCACCGGUGUUGUUUAAGCCACCCUGCUGUGGUAUCUGUUAUGGCGGCACAGGCAGAAAUAGGGACACAAGUGCAGGUUCAGGGCAAGGUGUGCGAGCACACUCAGUCCCUGGCCUCGGAGUCUCUCUGGAUGGCUUCUUGCCUAGGGUGACUGACAGAGGGAUGGAUGAUAUGAAAAGGCAGCUGUUCUCCUCCCGACCUAACCCCAAUUCUUACUCCAUGGGUUCAUGACAGCCCAUUCUGCUGGAGACUGUGUCUUAAAACUUUCUCCCCUAGUUUCUCUCAAGUACCCCUCGUGAGCUGUGAUUUCACUGGGCUUUCAACUCUUAGGCCAUUUUCUUUGUGCCUUUCUAUCAAAGCUUUAUAUCAACUCAAACCAUGUCUAUAGUAGUUUUCCAUUUUCCUUUUUUUCUUUUUUAAUGAUUGUAAUUUUUUCAAAUGGAUUAUGUAUUUUUAUAUCUUUUUUCUUUUGAAUUUACUUCUUUUUUAAGAGCCAUUUUUUGUUUGGAGCAAAAUUGAGCAGAAAGUCCGGGGAGUUCCUCGCUGCUCCCACACACACAGCCUCCCCGCUGUCGAUAUCUGGCACCGGAGGGGUCUGACCCUUACAAGUGAGGAGCCUAUGUUGAUGCACCAUUAUCACCCAAAGCUCAUAGUUUACACGAGGGCCCACUCUUGCUGUGGAACCACGUUCCUUUUCCCCACGUGUUUUUGCAUCCCUUUUCUUUUUUCUACCUUCCCAAACCCUGUGAUGUUCGGAAGAGCUAUGAUCCCUAUUCUAUAGAGAGGACACUCAAGGAAGCAGCUGAUAAGUAGAACCAGGACUCAAACCCAGAUCUCAUAACUCUAAAUCCAGCAGUGGUAGUUUUUUCUCUUUAAUACAAUUAUGACACUCCCUUUUGAACUUGUGAUAUAUACCUGCCGCUAACACACACACACACACACACACACACACACACACACACACACACACCUUGAGAGGCUGUUGCCAAUUGUUCUUUAGGCAUCACACACAGCCCCGGCACACAGCAGGGGCUUAAUAGAUAUUCCUUACAUCGAAGUUGAAAGUCUUGUCUCAACAUUCUGCUCUCACACACUCGCCUACAAACUCAUCAAAUAAUAGAGCAUCGAUUCUCAUUCUCUCCCUCUCCCUUCCUUUUAAAUCUCCUGGGGCUUAGAAUCCAUAAUUUGUGGAAUUCCCGCAUUCCCACAGGUGUCCUGGGAGGUGGGCAGGGCCAACACUUCAGCAGCUUCUGCAACGCAGCAGACUCCUGGGCCUGAUGUGCUAGCUGCCCAUUUGCUAUGGGCCUUCGCUCCCCAGAAGCACCUCUCUGGGUAUGGGGCAAACACCCCUCAUUGCUGCAAUGCAGCCUCUGCUGGAGUGAAACAGGAUGCUUGAUUUCUAUUGCGUCAGUAGCAACACUGCCCAGAGGUCUAAGAGAGGAAGUCAGAGCAAAGCCCAUCAAAGCCCACCCAGAACAGCAGGGAAAUUCCAAGUCAUCGGUUUCUAGUUCUCCCCAUGCGUGUGGUGGCCCUGCUUUGUGGUGAGCCUCCAGGACUGUCCUGCUGUGCCUCUGAAGCACCUGCUCACAGAAGGGUGACCCAUUGAGGCAUGCAGUGGGUUGAUACAAAUGUCAACUCCAGCCCCUGUCAUCAGCUAAAGGUCAGCAAAUGAGUUCUCUGGCAUUUGGGGUCUGCAGGAGCAAGUGAGUACUGUGAACACCUGCAGUGUGGAGACCACGUCCAUCUAAUUGGCGUCUAUGGGGCCCAGUGCCAGGCUGGGCCCAAGUGUCGAUUCAGGAAGGGUGUCUCAGGAUGCAGAAGCCGCCUGAUGCGUGCAGAGGUGGAUAGGCCUUCAGCCUGCUCUCCUCCUCUGUCCUGCAGACCGGGUGAGUUAUGUUAGCCUCUGCUUUCCCUUCCUGUCCUGAGCACAGCAAUCGGGACAACCACACAUCCUCUGAGAGAUGAUAAAAAUAAUGAGACCAAGAAGACUGCACCCAAAUCGAUGUUUUGUCUUUGCGCAGACCCCAUAGUGUGUCUUGUGCUGCAGAGGGAAGCACCUGGCAUCUUGGGGCCUCUUCUCUGCCCCCUCCCCACUUUGGGGAGGGGUUUUGUCGGGGGCAGCCUCCAUCCUUUGGAAUCCUGUCUGUGCUCUGAUUCUCCCUGAUGGUCUUUAUAGCUUUGCAUUAUUUUGCUUUCAGAGAACAGAGAAAUGUGAAUAAGAACAGAAACAUGGCACCGGUGUCCUCAGCUUCUUCCCCACCUUCACAGAACUGCUGCUGCAAACUAGUAGUUUUGAGAAAUGAUGAAAAACCUGUGGUUUUCCCCAAAUUCCAAGAAUCAGAGGCAGAUUCUAGGAGGGUGAAGAUGGUGUGGGCUCAAAAAUGGUCAUGCGGCACAUCUUCUGAGGAGAUAUGCUGCCCAUUAAAAGGGCAAAACAGGAGUUGGUGUGUGGGCAGUUCCCGCAUCACACAUAAAGGCUUCACCAGUGAGGCUCAGCCCAGGAACUGCCUGCCCUUGAGGCUGGGGGCUCACAAAGAAAGCUUUCCCCCAGCUUCUGAUGUCCAUGAAGAGCAGAGAGCAUGCUGGUGGUGAUUCAUAACCCCCUGAAAUGUAUCCUCAGUUUGCCAGAGAAAAAUUUCUAGGACCCACCUAAUAAGUUCAUUCAUUGGUUCCCAGACUCGGCAGGUUUUACCAGAUCCCUCACGACUGGUCCCAGCUUCUCUCCCAGCACAUUACUUGAAGGUACACAAAUAGUCCACUGUGCUUUGUUUCCUCUGUUUCUUCCAAUUCUCUCUUCUGCUUGACCAGCUUGUACUUGAAGAUCUAGGUUUUGGGAGAUUCCCGGGAUUGCUGCCAGGCACUGCCUGCCCCCAUCUGAGUAAGGGGUGUAAACCCCAAGAGUAUCUGAGACAAGUGUCAGUUAAUCUAGGAUUGUAUAUUGCCAAGGUUAAGAACAUGCCCAGGACACAGCCUUGGGAGGUCCUGACCACAUGUGCCCAAGGUAGUGGGCCUACAACUUGGUUUUAUACAUUUUAGGGAGACAUAAGCCAUCAAUCAAUACAUGUAACAUGUACAUUGUUUUGGUCUGGAAAGUUGGGACAACCGGAAGGGGGAGCUUCCAGGUCACAGUCAGAUUCAAAGACUUCCUGACUGGCAGUUGAUUGAGUUAUUAUCUAAAGACCUGGAAUCAAGAGAAAGGAAUGUCUGGGUGAUGGUAAGGGGUUGUAGAGAUUAAGGUUUUGUCAUGCCGAUGAAGCCUCCAGGUAACAGGCUUCAGAGAGAAUAGGUCAUAAAUGUUUCUACUCAGACUUAAAGAGGCUGUUCUAUCAGUCAUUCCUAAAGGAAGGAGGGUAUCAAGAGGCUGUUCUAUCAGUAAUUCCUAAAGGAAGGAGGGUAUCAAGACGCACGUCUGGCUCCCCCUUCCCCUCAUGACCUGAACUAGUUUUAUAGGUUAACUUUGGAAUGCCUUGGCUGAGGGGCCAUGCAUUCAGAUGGUUGGGGGCCUUAGAAUUUUCUUUUUGGUUUACAGGGACUUGCACUCACAGUGGCCUGGCUGUCUGUCUGUCUGUCUAACCUGGCAUUAUGCACACACUUUGAGUUAUCUUAUUCCUGCUCUGUGUUCUCAUUGCAUGAGAUCCUUGGGUGCAGGAACUACGUCUCCUCCUUGUUCUCCAGAGUACAAAUUUUUCUUUCAAUAACUGUGCACUGAGCUCCAAUUUUGUUCCAAUGGCUGUGCUAAGCUCUGUAGAUGAAGUCGAAAAAAAUAAAGAAGUAAAGACA